rnacentral:rRNA from 1 species
UACAGAGGGGGCAAGCGUUAUUCGGAAUUAUUGGGCGUAAAGAGCUCGUAGGCGGUUCGACAAGUCGGGUGUGAAAACUCCGGGCUCAACCCGGAGACGCCACCCGAUACUGUCGUGACUGGAGUCCGGUAGGGGAGUGGGGAAUUCCUGGUGUAGCGGUGAAAUGCGCAGAUAUCAGGAGGAACACCGGUGGCGAAGGCGCCACUCUGGGCCGGUACUGACGCUGAGGAGCGAAAGCGUGGGUAGCAAACAGG